UGGGGAAUAUUGCACAAUGGGCGAAAGCCUGAUGCAGCAACGCCGCGUGAGGGAUGACGGCCUUCGGGUUGUAAACCUCUUUUAGUAGGGAAGAAGCGAAAGUGACGGUACCUGCAGAAAAAGCACCGGCUAACUACGUGCCAGCAGCCGCGGUAAUACGUAGGGUGCAAGCGUUGUCCGGAAUUAUUGGGCGUAAAGAGCUCGUAGGCGGUUUGUCGCGUCUGCUGUGAAAUCCCGAGGCUCAACCUCGGGUCUGCAGUGGGUACGGGCAGACUAGAGUGUGGUAGGGGAGAUUGGAAUUCCUGGUGUAGCGGUGGAAUGCGCAGAUAUCAGGAGGAACACCAAUGGCGAAGGCAGAUCUCUGGGCCAUUACUGACGCUGAGGAGCGAAAGCAUGGGGAGCGAACA
rnacentral:rRNA from 1 species